rnacentral:rRNA from 1 species
GACGAACCGUGCAAACGUUAUUCGGAAUCACUGGGCUUAAAGGGCGCGUAGGCGGUCCAUCAAGUCAGGGGUGAAAUCCUGCAGCUCAACUGCAGAAGUGCCUCUGAUACUGGUGGUCUGGAGGGAGAUAGGGGUGUGUGGAACUCACAGUGGAGCGGUGAAAUGCGUUGAUAUUGUGAGGAACGCCGGAGGCGAAAGCGACGCACUGGAUCUCUUCUGACGCUGAGGCGCGAAAGCUAGGGGAGCAAACGGG